AUAUGAAUACGCUAGACUUGCAGAAUUCUUAUUCAAUCAAGUUGAUAAAAAUCAACACUAAGCCUUUUCUAAUAAACAACGACCGAUACCUAUCAUUUUGAUACCAACACUUGAAUUUUUAUAAGUAAAACUUAGAUUCUACUUCUUUAAUAAAAUCGCCAAAACACCGUUAACAGGUUCAAAAAAUGAAAAAUGAUUUACUAAAAGACGCAAUAGCAUUUAAAGUCGAUUUACUUUACAAAAGAAAUCGAUUUUUUUUCCAAGGGUUUGUUACAAUUUGAGAAGAAUUCCAAAAAGAAGAGAAACUGCAGAUUACUAAAAAAAACAGAUAAUGGUAAGAAAGAGCAAAAAGCCAAAAUCACCCCCUAGUAAGACCACUUCUUUCCAGUUAUCAUUUCAUAAGCUUCAACAUACUUUCUACGAGUAGCUUCAACGACAUCUUCGGGCAAAGAAACGUUGGGUUUAUUGGCAAGGUUAUUAGCGGUCAACCAGUUUCGAAGAUAUUGCUUAUCGAAACUAUCGGGAGAUUUUCCAACAGUAUAAUCAGAUGCAAGCCAGAAACGGGAUGAAUCGGGUGUCAAUACCUCAUCAACAAGCACAAUCUUAUUUGUGGUUUCAUCAACCCCAAAUUCAAAUUUCGUAUCGGCAAUGAUGAUUCCCUUCUUUAAUGCAACAUCACGGGCUAUUUUGUAAAGCUUUACAGAAGUCUCAGCAACUUGUUUGGCUAAUUCAGGUCCAACAAUUUUACUGACUUCAUCAGGAUGAAUGUUUUCAUCAUGGCCUUCGGCAGCUUUGGUGCUGGGGGUGAAAAGGGGUUCAGGGAAGGCCUCUGCCUCUUUCAUUCCUGUAGGUACGUUAAGGCCAUGAACAGUCCCUUGCUUUUGAUAUUCCUUCCAAGCACUUCCAGUGAUAUAGCCACGAACAAUAGCUUCGAUAGGAAGAAUCUUGUAUUUCUUAACGAGCAUGGAUCUAUCCUUUAACUCUUCAUGCUUCGUGAUAACAGGAGGUAAUUCUUCCCACCUAGAAGUAAUCAAAUGAGUUUGGACAUGAGGUUUUAAAACAUCAAACCAAAAUUCUGAAAUUUUUGUCAAAACCUUUCCCUUCUCAGGGAUGCCGUUCUCCAUGAUAAAAUCAUAGGCGCUUAUUCUGUCUGUUGCUACGAACAAAAGAUCAUCGGGAAAUUCUACACACUCAUACAGGUCUCUGACUUUGCCGGUAGCAAUUU